CUGAUAUAUUUUCCAAGCAAUUUAUCAACUUGCUUUCAUCGCUCUCGCGAGGUCCUGUAACAGAAAAAUUGAAGUGGAUAUUUGAUCUUUACGACAUCAACGGAGAUGGCUUCAUCAGCAAACAGGAGAUGUUGCAUAUUGUAUCUUCCAUCUACGAAAUGCUUGGCCACUACACGGAGCCUGUAGUUCAUGAACACUCCGCUAGGGAGCACGUGGAGCGUAUUUUUCAUCAAAUAGACGCAAAUCAAGACGGACUGAUUUCCUUUGAAGAGUUCAAAGAAUGGUGCCAGAAGGACGAAAACAGAUCGAAAAGUUUGUUUCAACUUGAUACUGUUAUGUAAGACCAAGAGAUGGCGUCGUAAAGAUCAAGAUUUCCAUAUCAGACUGUCCUCAAAACACUGCACCUUUCUUCUUUUGGAUAAUAAGACUUACAGCUUACUAGUGGAUAUUUCUUUUUUACGGUGUUAUUCAAGCAAAUAACCAGAAAGAAAAGCAGUUCACGCUCGAUUAAAUUCGAGAUUUUGUAGGUUGGUGAUCAGAAGAAAGUUAAUUCUCAAUACAGCACGUGCGUCUUUUGAGGCCAAUGAUUCAGAGCUCCCCACUUUACACUUUGAAGCAUGCUCAAAUACAUAGUUCAUUUCUUUACUGAAACUUUACUUAUUGUUAGGCUGAUUUCAUCUUUUACAGUAAGUUUAUCAAUAAUGAGCUGCAUGUUGUUGACUUUUCUCUUAGAAAGAUGAAAAUUUUCAUUGAACAACUUCCUCAUGUCGAAAACGAAAUUUUGUAGAUGUCAUUGAUUAGCGCUUUAGUACAUUUAUGUAACAAACCUCUGCAGAUGAUUACUGUACUAAACAAAAGUCAGAAGGAUGUAAACUCUCUGAUUACAGGUCCUUUUAGAUGUAUCAAAAAAUAAAUUCGAUCUCUGAUUACAGGUCAUUUUCGAUGGAUCAAAAGUAAAUCCGAAUUAUUUAACUAGGGAUUGUUCAAGUUUAUAAAAUAUAUUUAUAAUUAUUUUGACUAAUGGUAGUUUUGACUUUAUUAAAGUAAAGACUCCAAAUAUUUGAUUGAUUAUAGCUCAAAAUUAUUAAAAGGA